GUACAAGACACAGCAAUGUUUGGCCAUCAAAUCAAGAUGAUACCUGUCUGGUCUUGGUUGUAUAAAACAAAGAAGUGCUGUGUCACUGGGACAACUUCCGAGAUCUACAGUGGCUUCAACACAAACACUGGAUUCUUGUGAUUAUCAUUUUCCAUUGAGCUGCAUUGAUGUGUCCUAAUGAACCCGAAUGAAGUCCCCAAGCGAGGAUAAUAUGAUGUAGCCUACCUAACCUGAACAACAGUUCAACUGCUGUUUUAUUGUUUCUCAUCUUUAAAGAAUUUGUCCACAUUCUUCGUCAUUGGUCAAAGGUCAUAAUAAAACAGAUGUCACAUUGCAUACUCUACUUUCAUACUAAAGCAUCUGCAUUAUGACCUCUCCGACCUCAUCAACAAAGCCGUUACAAGCAGGGAACAUUAUACAGCACAUGAACCCAAUCGGCAAAAGGGGCCCGCUUUAGUAGACGCUUUGUACUUUCUGCCACAGCAUCACUUAACAAAACACCCUGAUAAUUUGAGCAUGAAUGUUCAGUCUUGGUGUAAGUAUGUGUAACAAAAUAACAUAUAGUAACGUCACUCAGCUGCCACUUUGGUGAUUUUAUUAACAAGAACAAACUAAAUACUGCAUAAAUAACAAUAAUGCUUAAAAUGUUAAUAAACUAUUUUAAUUAAAUACUUUCCAACAAAUAGAUUAAAUCGGCAUAAUAAAUACUAUUUAAUGUGGAUAAAGCAGCAACGCUGGUUUAUCAGUCUGCAUUUAUCUGUAAAUGACUAUGAUUGAUUCUGUCUGCAAGAGGACAGAUAUGUUGAUAAAUCUACAGCCUCUGAUUUGAGAAAUGCUGCGUCAGAGUGCAGUGCCAUUACGCACAACCGCCCACUGUGUUUAUCUCCUGCGGCUUAUCUUCAUUUAAUAACAUGCAAAUGACACCAGGUUGCUACAAAAUAAUCACACACACCUCUACACACAUCAGACGGGUCCGUUAUAACUGUAUUCUGCUGUUUGUGCGUUUAAGCCUCCUUUCGAACUUCAUUCAUUCAUAAAAUACAAAGAUAUGAUGUGACAAAUUGCAAAGUUAAAAACUGUAAAAUUAAAGCUAACAUUGGAUUGAUGCGAUCAUA